GGCGGCGUGCCUAACACAUGCAAGUCGAACGAUCUUUGAUUAUAGCAAUAUUAUUAAAGAGGAGUGGCGAACGGGUGAGUAACACGUAGAUAAUCUGCCUUUCAGACGGGGACAACUCAGGGAAACUUGUGCUAAUACCCGAUGAGACCACAAGAAGGGAUUUUUGUGGCCAAAGGCGGGCAGCAAUGCUCGUGCUGAAAGAUGAGUCUGCGUCCUAUCAGCUAGUUGGUGGGGUAAAUGCCUACCAAGGCUAAGACGGGUAGCCGGCCUGAGAGGGUGAACGGCCACACUGGGACUGAGACACGGCCCAGACUCCUACGGGAGGCAGCAGUGAGGAAUUUUCCGCAAUGGGCGCAAGCCUGACGGAGCGACGCCGCGUGAGGGAUGACAGCUUUCGGGUUGUAAACCUCUUUUAUUAAGGAAAAAGAUCUAUAUGCUAAUAUCAUGUAGAUUCGAUGGUACUUAUUGAAUAAGCCCCGGCUAACUACGUGCCAGCCGCGGC
rnacentral:rRNA from 1 species